UACGUAGGGGGCUAGCGUUGCUCGGAAUCACUGGGCGUAAAGGGUGCGUAGGCGGGUCUUUAAGUCAGGGGUGAAAUCCUGGAGCUCAACUCCAGAACUGCCUUUGAUACUGAAGAUCUUGAGUUCGGGAGAGGUGAGUGGAACUGCGAGUGUAGAGGUGAAAUUCGUAGAUAUUCGCAAGAACACCAGUGGCGAAGGCGGCUCACUGGCCCGAUACUGACGCUGAGGAGCGAAAGCGUGGGUAGCGAACAGG
rnacentral:rRNA from 1 species